rnacentral:tRNA from 1 species
GGGCGAUUAGCUCAGGUGGAUAGAGCACAAGCCUCCGGAGCUUGGGGUCGGGGGUUCGAGUCCCCCAUCGCCCU